rnacentral:rRNA from 1 species
CCUCGUGAAUCUGCCCUAAGGAUGAGGCCGCGACCGAUCAGGUUGUUGGCGAGGGUAAUGGCUCACCAAGCCUUUUACCGGUGCGGGCCGUGGGAGCGGGAGCCCGGAGAUGGGUACUGAGACAAGGACCCAGGCCCUACGGGGCGCAGCAGUCGCGAAAACUUUGCAAUAAGCGCAAGCUUGACAGGGCUAUCCCGAGUGCCAUCCGCUGAGGAAGGCUUUUACCCAGUCUAGAACGCUGGGGGAAUAAGGAGAGGGCAAGUCUGGUGUCAGCCGCCGCGGUAAUACCAGCUCUCCGAGUGGUGUGGAUGUUUAUUGGGCCUAAAGCAUCCGUAGCUGGCUAAGUUAGUCCCCUGUUAAAUCAAACGAAUUAAUCGUUGGAUCGCGGGGGAUACUGCUUGGCUAGGGGACGAGAGAGGCAGACGGUAUUUUCGGGGUAGGGGUGAAAUCCUAUAAUCCCGGGAAGACCACCAGUGGCGAAGGCUGUCUGCUAGAACGCGCCCGACGGUGAGGGAUGAAAGCUGGGGGAGCGAACCGGAUUAGAUACCCGGGCAGUCCCAGCUGUAAACGAUGCAGCCUCUGGUAUGAUGGGACGGCCUCGUGCCGUUCUAGUGCCGCAGGGAAGCUGUUAAGUCUGAAGCAUAUGGUACGAUCGCAAGAUUGAAACUUAAAAGCGUAUUCAGGGAGCACACAAGGGGUGAAGCUUGCGGUUUAAUUGGAUUCAACGCCGGAAAGGCGAU